rnacentral:rRNA from 1 species
AGGGCCCCGCACAAGCAGCGGAGCGUGUGGUUUAAUUCGAUGCUACACGAAGAACCUUACCAGGGUUUGACAUGCAAGUGGUAGGAAGCCGAAAGGUGACCGACCCUUCGGGGAGCUUGCACAGGUGCUGCAUGGCUGUCGUCAGCUCGUGUCGUGAGAUGUUCGGUUAAGUCCGCUAACGAGCGCAACCCUCGUCGUAUGUUAUAUGUGUCAUACGAGACUGCCGGUAAAAGCCGGAGGAAGGUGAGGAUGAUGUCAAGUCAGCAUGACCUUUAUAUCCAGGGCUACACACACGCUACAAUGGUCUGUACAAUGGGUAGCCAAGCCGCGAGGCGGAGCCAAUCCUGAAAGCAGGCCUCAGUUCAGACUGCAGUCUGCAACUCGACUGCAUGAAGCCGGAGUUGCUAGUAACCGCAGGUCAGCAAUACUGCGGUGAAUACGUUCCCGGGUCUU